rnacentral:rRNA from 1 species
GAUGAACGCUGGCGGCGUGCCUAAUACAUGCAAGUCGAGCGAACAGACGAGGAGCUUGCUCCUCUGACGUUAGCGGCGGACGGGUGAGUAACACGUGGAUAACCUACCUAUAAGACUGGGAUAACUUCGGGAAACCGGAGCUAAUACCGGAUAAUAUAUUGAACCGCAUGGUUCAAUAGUGAAAGACGGCUUUGCCGUCACUUUUAGAUGGAUUCGCGCCGCAUUAGCUAGUUGGUAAGGUAACGGCUUACCAAGGCAACGAUGCGUAGCCGACCUGAGAGGGUGAUCGGCCACACUGGAACUGAGACACGGUCCAGACUCCUACGGGAGGCAGCAGUGGGGAAUAUUCCGCAAUGGGCGAAAGCCUGACGGAGCAACGCCGCGUGGGUGAUGAAGGUCUUCGGAUCGUAAAACUCUGUUAUUAGGGAAGAAAAAAUGUGUAAGUAACUAUGCACGUCUUGACGGUACCUAAACAGAAAGCCACGGCUAACUACGUG